rnacentral:rRNA from 1 species
UGAGGAAUAUUGGUCAAUGGCCGGAAGGCUGAACCAGCCAUCCCGCGUGCAGGAUGACGGCCCUAUGGGUUGUAAACUGCUUUUGUACCUGAAGAAACCUGUUUACGAGUAGACAGUUGCCGGUAAGGUAUGAAUAAGCAUCGGCUAACUCCGUGCC